AUGUGCAUCGAAGGUCUGGGCGCCGUGAACGAGUUCCCCCGCGACCAGCGCCGCCGUGGCCAUUCCCUCGCCUUCCUCCUCUACGCCACCUGCCCGCCGGCAGGGCCUCGUCCCUACCUCUGGCGCGCCAAGUUCAUCAUCAUCCUCCCCCUUGCUGUUGCUGCUCCUCAUAGGUCUUCCUGGUGCCCUCGUCUCUGCUCGCGGGAGGACGAGUGCGACCGCUACUUCGAUCUGCGAUGCGCGAGACCCCUUGGCCUUGCUGUGAUCUGGAUAUGUCGAUACCACCGUUGCCACGUUGAUUCCUCUGCCCCGGAGUACCUCAAGUUCGUCUACACGAGGCUGCCAAGUACAUCUACGCAUAGAUAUCGCCAAGUACCACGAUGA
rnacentral:rRNA from 1 species